rnacentral:hammerhead_ribozyme from 1 species
AUCUAGCUGAAGAGUCCCAGACAAAACGAAACGCGCGUCAUGGAU